UACGUAGGGUGCAGGCGUUAAUCGGAAUUACUGGGCGUAAAGCGUGCGCAGGCGGUCUGUUAAGACCGAUGUGAAAUCCCCGGGCUUAACCUGGGAACUGCAUUGGUGACUGGCAGGCUUUGAGUGUGGCAGAGGGAGGUAGAAUUCCACGUGUAGCAGUGAAAUGCGUAGAGAUGCGGAGGAACACCGAUGGCGAAGGCAGCCCCCUGGGCCGACACUGACGCUCAGGCACGAAAGCGUGGGGAGCAAACAGG
rnacentral:rRNA from 1 species